UGGGGUUUAGAUUAUUACUCAAAAUUUCUUUCUUCUAUGAUCCUCUUACUUGUAGUUUGCUAUAUCAGUUUCGCUUGGUACCAUGAUGCUUACCCUUUCAUUAGUUUUCCCAACUAAUUAGUUUUCCUAGCUCGCUUUGUAUUUAUGAUAUUCAAUUUGACACAUACCAGAACUAUCAAUUCAUCUACUUUGGGCUACUUCUUGGCCUUUUCAAGCACAGGAUCUAUAACACCAUAUGAAGACACUCAAAGUAGCAAGCUUAUGGUAACUUAUCUAUGCUUGGAAGGUGCUGAUUUGUUUUCCCGUGAUAACUAGAAUCAAUCGCAUGUAAUAGGGCUCUUCCUUAAUUCUUUGGUUAUCCUCCCCUUUUUUCUAGUAUGGCAAAAUUUUCCAAUCAACAUGUUCCAUCUUUAAUGGUAUCACCUAUGGGUCUCAACCAGUCAAACAACCCACUAUUCACUAUUCCUCCUACAGCAAUCACAGUAAUUGAUAGUUCUGUUACUUUGUAUUAGAGAUGAGAAUUAUAUUUUCAUGCUUGAAGUCUAUCCCCUUACUUACAAUGACCAUAUUGAUUCUGUUGAGGACCAUUAGUUCUAUAUGGUCUAUCCUUUGGCUUUUAUAAACAUGGGAUUUACUUGAUCAUCAGAAUAAGGUUGUAACAGGGACAAGUUGAUGGCACCUCAUCUACAAUUCAGUGCUGCUAACUUGUGACCCCAUGAAGCUAGAAAUCUUUCAUAGAUAGCAGAUGUUUCAUUGGAUGGUUGGUCUAUCUCUCGUGUCUCUCGGAUUCUAAGUUUUUUGCUCAAUCAGAUCCAGCCUUCGCUGACGCUUGUUGAUGGAUAUAAUUUAGCCAAUUAUUCCUUCUUUCACUCCACUCACAGCACUCACUAUAUUUGGAGUUAAACUGCUUUGUGUUGUGAUGUUAAUACUUCCAUUUCUGUGUCUCAAGGGAUUGUAACUUUAUAUAACUAGUAUAAUUGCGUUCUAGAUCUUGUUUCUAUUUCUUGCAAUAUAGCUCAGCUCCUCUUUUUACCAAAAAAAAUAAUAAUAAUAAACUAUACUUUUUCUUGUGCAAAUUAAUUUGCAAUGAGAAUUCUAAAUUUGAUACCUCAUAUAUCUUAAUUCACAUUUUC
rnacentral:lncRNA from 1 species